rnacentral:rRNA from 1 species
UACGGAGGUUCCAAGCGUUGUUCGGAAUUACUGGGCGUAAAGGGAGCGCAGGCGGGCAAGUCAGUCUGAAGUGAAAUCCCGGGGCUCAACCUCGGACUUGCUUCGGAUACUGCUUGUCUUGAGUUCGUGAUAGGAAGACGGAAUUCAGGGUGUAGCGGUGAAAUGCACAGAUAUCCUGAGGAACACCGGUGGCGAAAGCGGUCUUCUGGCGCGAAACUGACGCUGAGGCUCGAAAGCGUGGGUAGCAAACGGGAUUAGAUACCCCGGUAGUCCACGCCGUAAACGUUGUGUACUAGGUGUAGGAGGUAUCGACCCCUUCUGUGCCGCAGCUAACGCAUUAAGUACACCGCCUGGGGAGUACGCGCGCAAGCGUGAA